rnacentral:rRNA from 1 species
UACGUAGGGUCCGAGCGUUGUCCGGAAUUAUUGGGCGUAAAGGGCUCGUAGGCGGUCUGUUGCGUCGGGAGUGAAAACUUACAGCUUAACUGUGAGCGUGCUUCCGAUACGGGCAGACUUGAGGUAUUCAGGGGAGAACGGAAUUCCUGGUGUAGCGGUGAAAUGACGCAGAUAUCAGGAGGAACACCGGUGGCGAAGGCGGUUCUCUGGGAAUAUCCUGACGCUGAGGAGCGAAAGUGUGGGGAGCGAACAGG